GGAAAUGCCCGGGCGCCGGCGCUCGCCGGUACGGCCGGCCCGCGCGGCCCCGAGCCCCGCCUGGGGCCUACGCGGAACCGAGCCCUAGGCGCUUCGCCGUUGGGCCGGGCCGACCGCGACGGCAGAGCCCCGGCAGGAAAGGCGGCUAACCUCCGGGUGUUGUCCCACGUUGCCCGGCCCGGUGACGCGCGAUCGGGAGGACACGGGCGCGGGAGGCGGCUGGGCUUGGCUGCUGUGCCCCACGGCCGUCUGGCUCCUUGGGAACCAUCCCGGUGGAAGACUCCGCUCCCGCCUGCCCCGGUGUCCCGGCGGCCCUCGCGCAGUUUGUUCCAGCAUCUUGGCUCAGCCUGAGUGCUCCGCUUUGAAAACUAUUGGGGUGUGUGUGUCUGUGUGUGUAAUUCUUUUUUUUUUUUUCCAGAUCCUGAACUACUUUUCCGUUUUUAAUCUAUCUUUUAUAUUUUUAUCAUCAUCCUUGUCAACUUUGUUUUCAGGCAUUAUUCAUCAAAUAUGUAUGCAUCCCCUUAACCACGUGUCUGUUGGCAGCGUGGUUUGGUGGAAAGAAGCCGCACUUUGGAAUCCAGACAGAUCUGCCACGGAUUCUGGAUCUGAUAUCCUCUGUAUAACCUUGGACAAGCUCAUUGACCUUGCUGAGUCCCGGUUUCCUUGUCUUUUGUUUGGUUUUUUACUGUUAUUUUAAUUUACCCUUUUAUAUUUGAAAUUCCUUUGUGUGUGUGUCUCUGUGUAUGCAAAAACCAGAACUGUGUCCUUUAGCUAAGUCUACCUAAAUUGGAUUCUAAAGUACUUCUUGCUUUGGGAUUAUUCUUAUUCCUUUCCACCAUUACUAGCUGUGUUACCUGGAGAAGAUGAGAGCCUUAUUGUGCCUUUCCCAUCUUUAAAAUGGGUGUUAAAAAAAAUGGGCGUGAUUACAGAUAAUAAUAACAGCAAGUAUUUGGUGAAUUAAGAGCUAAAGUAUAUAUAAACUAGCAGGGGACACAAUAAAAGCAGUUUGUUACAGUAUUUCUUAAAUCUGAUUUAAGAGGUAUCUUGAUUUCAAAGAUAUAAAAAGCUCGUCUUAAAGGCAAGGAAAUAUUCCGUCACUCAGCUCUACCCAAGGGCUUGUGUGUGUUUGGUGGUAAUUAAUGAUCAGCCAAACUAAGGUUUAAACAAACACCGCUUUAAAUGAGGACUUUGUCACCAGAACUAUUUACAACGCAUGUAUGGAGCUUUUGCCUGAGUCCAGUCUCGAACAGCUUGAAAAGGUUCAUCAAGGCCAUAAUGGGGUUUGGUGGGAUAGAAAGAAUAGGGCUUCCAGGGACUUCCCCGGUGGUCCAGUGGUUAAGACUCCAUGCUUCCAAGCCUGGGGACUAUAGUUCGAUCCCUGGUUGGGGAACUAAUUUCCCACAUGCCCUGUGGCAUGGGAAAAAAAAAAAAAAUAGGGCUUCCAUCAAGGAUCAGUUCAGUUCAGUUAAG
ensembl:lncRNA